rnacentral:rRNA from 2 species
UGGGGAAUAUUGCACAAUGGGGGAAACCCUGAUGCAGCGACGCCGCGUGAGUGAAGAAGGUUUUCGGAUCGUAAAGCUCUGUCCUUGGGGAAGAAAAAAAUGACGGUACCCAAGGAGGAAGCCCCGGCUAACUACGUGCCAGCAGCCGCGGUAAUACGUAGGGGGCUAGCGUUGUCCGGAUUUACUGGGCGUAAAGGGUGAGUAGGCGGUUGCAUAUGUCAGAUGUAAAAGGCACAGGCUUAACCUGUGUUCGCAUUUGAAACUGUGCGACUUGAGAGCAGGAGAGGUAAGUGGAAUUCCUAGUGUAGCGGUGAAAUGCGUAGAUAUUAGGAGGAACACCAGUGGCGAAGGCGACUUACUGGACUGUAACUGACGCUGAGUCACGAAAGCGUGGGUAGCAAACAGG